CCUACGGGGGGCAGCAGUGGGGAAUAUUGGACAAUGGGCGAAAGCCUGAUCCAGCCAUGCCGCGUGUGUGAAGAAGGCCUUCGGGUUGUAAAGCACUUUCAGUGGGGAAGAAAGCCUUGGGGCUAAUACCCUCGAGGAAGGACAUCACCCACAGAAGAAGCACCGGCUAACUCCGUGCCAGCAGCCGCGGUAAUACGGAGGGUGCGAGCGUUAAUCGGAAUUACUGGGCGUAAAGCGCGCGUAGGCGGUCUGAUAAGCCGGUUGUGAAAGCCCCGGGCUCAACCUGGGAACGGCAUCCGGAACUGUCAGGCUAGAGUGCAGGAGAGGAAGGUAGAAUUCCCGGUGUAGCGGUGAAAGGCGUAGAGAUCGGGAGGAAUACCAGUGGCGAAGGCGGCCUUCUGGACUGACACUGACGCUGAGGUGCGAAAGCGUGGGUAGCAAACAGGAUUAGAUACCCCAGUAGUC
rnacentral:rRNA from 1 species